AUCCAGCUGACAAGUCCCUAAUGGGACGAAACACGCGUCCUGGAU
rnacentral:hammerhead_ribozyme from 1 species